rnacentral:rRNA from 1 species
GAUGAACGCUGGCGGCGUGCCUAAUACAUGCAAGUCGAGCGAAUGGAUUAAGAGCUUGCUCUUAUGAAGUUAGCGGCGGACGGGUGAGUAACACGUGGGUAACCUGCCCAUAAGACUGGGAUAACUCCGGGAAACCGGGGCUAAUACCGGAUAACAUUUUGAACCGCAUGGUUCGAAAUUGAAAGGCGGCUUCGGCUGUCACUUAUGGAUGGACCCGCGUCGCAUUAGCUAGUUGGUGAGGUAACGGCUCACCAAGGCAACGAUGCGUAGCCGACCUGAGAGGGUGAUCGGCCACACUGGGACUGAGACACGGCCCAGACUCCGACGGGAGGCAGCAGUAGGGAAUCUUCCGCAAUGGACGAAAGUCUGACGGAGCAACGCCGCGUGAGUGAGGAAGGCUUUCGGGUCGUAAAACUCUGUUGUUAGGGAAGAACAAAUGCUAGUUGAAUAAGCUGGCACCUUGACGGUACCUAACCAGAAAGCCACGGCUAACUACGUGCCAGCCGCCGCCGUAA